AAAAUGACGCGGAUCGAAAUAGUGUAAAACGCUAGAUAGCCAAUCACCGACUAGUCACUUCAAUUAAAGAUUCGUCCGACCUCUGAUAUAUAAACGGGCCCGUGACAUCAUGUCUCAAUCCGCUAAUCGAGCAUACUUUACGAAGUCCUCAUUAGCAACCUAGCGAAAAACAACUGACGAAGGUCUCUUCAUUAAGAGUCCGAAACCGGUCUUGUAAACGCUAUAACCGCCCGCCGAUUUUUCAUCAAACGAUGACAUCGGAAGGCACCUUAGACGAGAUGAGCGAGCCCUCUCUCAGAAAAAGCCAGAUUUAGCCAAAGUGCACUUUGAAUUCUACGAGUUACAGUGGCGAUUCUCGGCAGCCUCAAAUCUUCCUGUUUGAUUUUAAGAAAUCUAUUAAAACAGGAGUGAGCUGUACUGCAGAUAUGUCCUAAAUAACUCUAAGAAACUUAACAUGCACAAAGAAAGCGCUUAUGUCAGGUCGAACAACGCUCCUAUAGACGUGAAACAUUAAAGAACGACAAAUUCCACCACAAAGACAUAUAAUAUGUCACCUAAGGUUUUUGUCACCUCAUAAACCACGUCUAGUGUAUAUCGUCCUCCGUAGAUCCAAUUCUGCGGCAUAUAACGCUUAAGCAAAAGUGUAAUCUCAAAGACACUACGCACUUUAUUUACUUCAUCAGAAGUCUAUAAAAGGGCGAAAGAUUCAUUGAUUUAAAUAUCCUUGAUGUCCAUAGCUUACUGAAACUUUUCAGUACACGCAUUCUCUCCUCUUGCCACCCUCUUAGUUAUAAGAAGGGUUUGUGUCUAGGGAGAUGGCCAACGUCCGUUGAGAACAAAUUCCUCACUUGCCACCUUCUAAGCCGAAAUUCGCAACUUAUUCUAGAUACGGUUACGCGAUUUCACAACAUACAUUACGGCGAGUGUUGAAUUCACGGACAGGCAAAAUGCGUUUUGAGGCAAACAUGGCAUCUAAUAAACGAAUCUAAACAUUUUGUCAUGAGGUUCCACCCGGCUAAACAGAAUCUUCUAAAGAUUCUUAUAACAAACUGGCAACUUAUCACGGAUCUCAGCCUCAUACGGCUAGAAUCUUUAAUGAACCUAUAGUCUGUUAUAGAAAGGAGAAACCGCUUAUAGACUUUUAAGUCAGAGCUACAAUCUCCCAUAAAGGACUAGGUAUCAAAGCAGAUUUAUUUGCAAUUGUGGCGGGUGUGGCUGUUGGCAAUAUUACACAACUGACUUGCUUAGACUACGGUCUUAAACUCCACGGCCCCCGUAACGCGAAAGCCUUUCGAGGAUUCACCCACAAUUGAUCUAGGUAGCCGGACUUUUUUGUACCAGUCCACAUACCAAUAUAAAUUUGCAGACAAGUCGAGGGAAUGCAAAAAUCUUCCUGAUACAAAUAUCUGUCUAUUUUUGCUUCCUAUGGUUUAACAAUAGCGCUACCACGCGACCGUGUCACCGACAAUAGGCCUUUUGUUUUCGAAACAUAGCCUACCUUAAAAUGACGCGGAUCGAAAUAGUGUAAAACGCUAGAUAGCCAAUCACCGACUAGUCACUUCAAUUAAAGAUUCGUCCGACCUCUGAUAUAUAAACGGGCCCGUGACUUCAUGUCUCAAUCCGCUAAUCGAGCAUACUUUACGAAGUCCUCAUUAGCAACCUAGCGAAAAACAACUGACGAAGGUCUCUUCAUUAAGAGUCCGAAACCGGUCUUGUAAACGCUAUAACCGCCCGCCGAUUUUUCAUCAAACGAUGACAUCGAAAGGCACCUUAGACGAGAUGAGCGAGCCCUCUCUCAGAAAAAGCCAGAUUUAGCCAAAGUGCACUUUGAAUUCUACGAGUUACAGUGGCGAUUCUCGGCAGCCUCAAAUCUUCCUGUUUGAUUUUAAGAAAUCUAUUAAAACAGGAGUGAGCUGUACUGCAGAUAUGUCCUAAAUAACUC